CAGUCAUUUCAGGAUUUUUAUUCCCUACGCUUCUACGCUUCUUUUGUUUUAAAUGAAGAGAUCUUGCAGCUCUUACCACCAUGAGGGAAAUAUUCUGGUUUUUGACACAAUUCAACUAUUUUGUCAGCAAUCAAAGAAAAAUGGCAAGAAUUUACAUGGAAUCUGAUCCUGCAUAUGAACGCCCUCAUGCAACAAAGAUGUCCUGAUCUGAUGGAUGUUUACCCUGCAGGUCAGCCGAAGUGACGGAGGAACGUCAUCUUUAUUAAAAAGUUUAAGUUCAAACAGCAGCAGUGAGACUUUCCCUGCCGGUGGAGCAGCUCCUCCCUGACUGAGUGUCACAGAGUCCCUGUAUGCCUCCUAAAAGUGGGUCUUUGUCUGUGAGCAGCUGACUCCGCCCUCCCGGUCCAGGGUCCAGGAUCAAAUCUGAUUGGUCGGUUUCGUCCAGACAGUCCUGAAGAUGCACAGAUUGUCGUUGAGUGGAUUUUUAAAGGUAAUGUGAUCAUGAUACAUCCCAGUGAAACUGAAACAGUCUGAUUUCUCUAAUAACCCAAACUCUGUUGAUAUCAUUGAAAACAGGAACACAGAUAAACACACCCGGCAUCUGUGCUUCCUGCCUGCUGCUUUCCGUCACAGAUGAAGUGAAAAUACUGAGUGCUGUGAGAUGCCAACAUUUUGUUUUUCUUUUUUUGUUUUGCUGCAGCUCAAAAGUUAACUGAAUUACAGCUUUUUCAAUUGUUUAAGGUAAAAAUGUUGAGCAACGUCGAGUCUGAUUUAGUUCCUCUUCUUUCUCCAAAGCACUCGAUCAAAUCCUUAAAAAGACUUUUUCAAAAAGUGCUGGAUAAACACAAAGUCUUCCUCUUCCACUCACUAGUAAUCUGUGGCUGAGGAGAAGUUCCUCUUCUAAUGAGGAAGCCUGCUGUUUCUGUCUCUUGUCCUGAAUGGUCAGCUGGGACGAUGUCUCCUCCUCUGGGUUGUGAGUCCUGCAGACGGAGACGAGACUGUGAGACGUUUGUCCUUCAUUGUUACAAACAGAACACUAAACUCUGCUUUGUCUCUGUGUUAUCUGGUGUGUUCGGUUACAGCUGAUGGGAUCACUUUACUGCUUUAUGUCACAUUGCUUGCACUCGUAAAGUUCAAGUACACUAGUUUUGUGUAAUGUCACUGCCUGUAUUUUUGCUUGUAGAGAUUCCAUUUUAUUUUACACGCUUUACAUGUUAUUUACUUGCUAAGUUCUCUGUUUAUCUGUACUUAUUUCUGUCCUUGUGCUGCUGUAACACCAGGCACAGGAUUUUGUUCGCUCUUUCCCAAUUCUGCUGUAAGCAGGUAAGAAAAGAACAUAAUGUUGGUAUUUAGCCCAAAGUACAGCUGACAUCUGUUAGCCUUCAGUGCAGCCAUGAGUCUGACAUAUCCUGAUUGGUCCUGAAGUGGGCACUGUACAGAGGAUGAGACCUUUCAAUGUAGCUGACAUGGCCUUUACUCUGGCGCCACCCUCAGGACAAACAUGUUGUCUCACACUGGAUGGAUUUUGUUCUCCUUGACAGCACUGACAGCACACACUGAGCACAAACGAAAGUUUUUCAAUCAAAAGUUAAUGCUCCCUUGCUCAUUUCCACAUUCAAAUGGAGGUAAAAAAUAAAUAAAUAUAUUUUUCUUGAAAGAAAAUCAAAUUUGUCUACACAACCAAGUAAUGAUAAAUCAGUGAAAUCAGAAAUUCCUGACUGUGUCGCCACGUGUUCAGUUUCCACCUCUGACAGAAAAACAUCUGUGGGGCUUUUCCCUGACAUGCUGAACGUUGGUUAGGAUUGUUCAACUCUGAGAGACUUCGUACCGUUUCCUGCUCACUGUGACUGCAGGCGUCACGGCUGAGGCUUCAGACGAAGAGGGCGGAGGUUUGUCGGCGUCCUCGGGCAAACUGCUGAGGAAGGUCAGCUGGAAGUCAUCGUCCAUAGAGAUGUAAGGAGCCAGCAUCUCCAGGUCCAUCCCCUCUAUGUCCUGAGAGAGGAAGGUGGACAGAUGAACGAGAUGAAGAAACAACAGAUCAAAGGAGCUCUGAGGAAGGUUGGCAGACACGGAAGUUAAGCGAGAGUCGCAGAGCAAAUGACACUUAACAGAUCUGAGGCUCCCGUUUACCGGCUCGGGGUCAGGCGACGAGGGUGGUGGUGAUAUCGAUGAGGGCGGAGCGAUGGGGUUGAAGAUGGGCAAGAGGAGCUGUCGCAGCUGUGGGGUACACAGAUCCUGCGGAUGGUCCGGCACCGAGUUUAGACUGGAUGGACUGAAGAACGACAGCUCAGCAAAAUCUGACAGAGAUGGAAACAGAAAGCGCUCAGAAAACUAAAACCAUUUUAGACGUAAAAAUGGAUGACGGUUACAAUCAAGCCCUGAAAUUAAUCACAACACAGAUUUAAGUUUAGUUUCUUGUUCGUUAGUGAAUGUUAGCAUUGUAGAGCUGCUAGCGGCGCUCUAUACUCCAGUCCUGCAAACAGCAUGUGACAAUGUGACAUGCUGAACAGAAGUACAUUAUUUAUCGACGACACGUUUUGGAAGAUACAACAGCUGGUUCCCAGUUUGGGUGGGCAAUGGGCUCCGUCUCACCUGUCAGCGGCACGAUGACGUCUCCAGCCUCAGGAGCCAGCUGGAGAAGCUCCCAAGGCUUGUCCUUCAGUUUGAAGAAGAGCUCUGCAGCGCUGCUCUGAUCCAAAUCCACAUCCUCGCCCUGGCUGGAGCUGGUGAGACGUUCGCUGUCAGGGUCAGAGCCAUGGAUGUCAGGAGACCCACAGUCCUCCGGUGCAGGCUCCGGUGAGCGGGGCUCAGCCUGACCGUGACGGAUCUGCUCGACGGAGAAGACGACGUCCGGCUGCUCCACGGCACUGCAGAAGAACACGACGAUGGAGGAGCCGUAAAAGACCAGGCUGUGUGACUCGUGUACCUGAGGAUGAAGUUGAGGCAUACGACAGCCUCGGGCUGCGACGUCUUGCUGCUGUAGAGGACGGUCGCCUGCGUCUCGGCCCAGACGAAGCCGCCGCUGUUCACCAGG